UAUCGACCUGGUGCGGCCGUGUGGGUUCUCCUCCACCUCCACGGCUCCACCUUCUCUCAUCUCCGCCGCUUCCCCAUAGCUCGGGACAUCUCUCCCCCGUGGGAGUCCAGGGACGACGGAGUCCGGCGCCCUCGCUCCGCCCUCCCCAACCUGCUCUGCUCCGCCCCUCAAUCCUUGAAGCUUCCUCCUGCCCCUCCCACAGCGACCAUCCCCUCCAAGCUUCCUCCACCCUAUGGCGACUCCUCCCUGCUGCUCCCACCUAGCCCCCAUGGCGACCACUCGCUGGCCCGUUUGUCUUGCUCUGAAUUUUGCCCUUUGAAUCCCCUCCGAGUCCUCUUCAUUUUGCAGGUUUCUGGACAAGUAUAUGGAGCCCCAUCAUUAUGGAACUUGGUAAGAAGGUUAUACGUAGUAAUUUUGGAAAAUGGUGGUCACUCACACCAAUUUGAACUAUGGCAGUAGAAGUGCUUCGAAGGUUCUCAUGCACAUGUACCUGCGAUUUUCUACGACUUGCUUCAUUUGAGGUACAUACUUGUGAAAUCAUAGGUGAUGUGUAACAUUGGCAAGUGUUUGAGGUGAAACAUUGAUGUGGAUACUUUGGUAAUAUGGAUACUUAUGUGAUGACAUGUAUCUUGUUUGGACGUAGUGCUUUGCUAGUGGUGUGUUAAUCCAUUAGUUUCUUAUGUGAAAACAUGGCGUGAGUUGUGUGAAACUUACCCUGAGUCAAGUCGCGGACUUGUGCUCGUACUGGUUAUUUGUGUGUUCACUUUUAGGUGUUGCCGGAGGUAGAGGAAUGUGGUCGAUGAGGGGAUCGAGGGAUGAAGCUUGGGAGGAGCUGAGGUUGAGGGAUCAAGGUCAUGCGGGAUGUUCGUGCGAAGAAACAAUGAAAGUGAAGGCUACGAUGAUCCCGGAGGGCACCGGUUUGUCGUACGUUGUUUAUACCGGAGAUGUACAGUAUUGGAGAUAUUCGACACGUGAUGGUCGAGUUUUGAAGACAUCACAAGAAGAGUUGAUGGCAUGAAGUGGCAUCGACGUGAAGACCUGUAGGUCCAGCCGUGACUGAAUAAGAGCUGUGUAAAGAUUACACAGUAGUAUCAUCAAGAUGGCGUCCGAUGGAAAAGUGGUCCACAUGAAAGUUGUGCGAUUCGUCGAGGUGAACAAUUUUGAUUUUGGAGUCA